rnacentral:rRNA from 1 species
CAGUAGCCACGGGAAUACGAAGGGGGCUAGCGUUGUUCGGAUUUACUGGGCGUAAAGGGCGCGUAGGCGGGCUGAUAAGUCGGGGGUGAAAUCCCAAGGCUCAACCUUGGAACUGCCUUUGAUACUGUUGGUCUUGAGUCCGGGAGAGGUGAGUGGAACUGCGAGUGUAGAGGUGAAAUUCGUAGAUAUUCGCAAGAACACCAGUGGCGAAGGCGGCUCACUGGCCCGGAACUGACGCUGAGGCGCGAAAGCGUGGGGAGCAAACAGGAUUAGAUACCCGCGUAGUCCCUGUCUCUUAUAC